CAGCCCCUCGAGUGGUGGGGAUGAUUAUUUGGCCUAAAGCGUCCGUAGCCGGCCGGGUAAGUUUCCCGUUAAAUCCAACGUCUCAAGCGUUGGACUGCGGGAAAUACUGCCAGGCUAGAGAGUGGGAGAGGUCAGCGGUAUUCUGGGGGUAGGGGCGAAAUCCUUUGAUCCCCGGAGGACCACCAGUGGCGAAGGCUGCUGACUAGAACACGUCUGACGGUCAGGGACGAAAGCUGGGGUAGCGAACCGGAUUAGAUACCCGAGUAGUCC
rnacentral:rRNA from 1 species